GGAAGGAUCAUUACAAAUCAGUGUUGGCUGCAUGGGGAGUUGUUGUGUGUUGGGUGGGUGGUGGUGAUUGUGGACGUGUCGCAGGCGCCAAGGUGUCUUGCAAUGUACUCACGCCUCCGCUGCUCACAUCAUCCCGCAUACCCGACCCCGAGCAGCCGCUCACAUUUGCGCUUGUUGUGUUUGACAGAGUAGACUAUUCACGAAAUGAGACAACUUUUAACAAUGGAUCUCUUGGCUCUUGCAACGAUGAAGAACGCAGCAAAAUGCGAUACGUAGUGCGAUCUGCAUGAACCUGUGAGUCAUCGAGUCUUUGAACGCAACUUGCGCCACUUGUGGCAUGUCUGUUUGAGCACCAUAUACCUCUGUCGCAAGACGAACUGUCCAGUGAUCGCUGGGCCAAAUGGUGUGAUAUCUAUCUCUGGGGUGCGCAGUGGCGAACCGAGCUAGAGGCGCUGGAUGGAAUCUGCUGGCUGUUGCAGGCCAGUGGACGACACCAAUCACCUUGUCGGCAAUCUACUAGGCCCCCACACAUACCGGUCUCAAAUCAGGCAAGACUACCCGCUGAACUUAAGCAUAUCAGUAAGCGGAGGAACAGAAACUAACAAGGAUUCCCUCAGUAAUGGCGAAUGAAGCGGGAACAGCUCAAAUUUGAAAUCUCGGUGGACAGCCCACCGCGAAUUGUAGUCUAAAGAAGGCGAUGCAGGCCGAGCAGCGGACCAAGUGCCCUGGGAUGGGCCGCCAGAGAGGGUGAGAGCCCCGUCAGUCCGUGCGCCGAGCCGAGUCAGAGCCUCUCAACGAGUCGAGUUGUUUGGGAAUGCAGCUCAAAGUCGGUGGUAAAUCUCAUCCAAGGCUAAAUACAGGCAAGAGACCGAUAGCGAACAAGUACCGUGAGGGAAAGAUGAAAAGCACCUUGAAAAGGGAGUUAAACAGUGCGUGAAAUUGUUAAAAGGGAAGCGAUUGAGAUCAGUGUUGGGCUCUGCUCAACUCCCCGCUCCGGUGGGGAUGGCGGCAGAGCACCGAGUCAGUGCCGGUUGUGGGCGCUGGACACGCGCUGCGGGAAGGUGGGGUCGUCCUUCGGGGCGGCUCUUUAUAGACCGCAGCUGCUGCAGCGGCGGCGACCGGAAUGGAUGCGACGUGCUGUGUGGAGAGGCAUUCUUCGGCGGCUGGACUACAUGUAGGCCAGUGCUGGACGUGCCCACCUUGCGGCUCCGAGCAAACAGCCUCUGACAAAAUGGUCUUAAACGACCCGUCUUGAAACACGGACCAAGGAGUCUAACAAUGUUGCGAGCAUUAUGGUGGCAAACCAGAGUGCGCAAUGAAAGUGAAAGCCUGCGAGCUCCGGCGCAGCAGGGACCGGCUUGGCAGUAACCUGCCAGGACCGCGUAGGAGCAGGAUUGUUGGGACCCGAAAGGCGGUGAACUAUGCCUGACUAGGGCGAAGCCAGAGGAAACUCUGGUGGAGGCUCGUAGCCGUUCUGACGUGCAAAUCGAUGGUCAAAGUUGGGUAUAGGGGCGAAAGACUAAUCGAACCGCCUAGUAGCUGGUUCCCUC
rnacentral:misc_RNA from 1 species